GCAUAUCAAUAAGCGGAGGAAAAGAAACCAACAGGGAUUGCCUUAGUAACGGCGAGUGAAGCGGCAAUAGCUCAAAUUUGAAAUCUGGCGCUUGCGUCCGAGUUGUAAUUUGUAGAGGAUGAUUUUGGUUAGGUACCUUUCGAGUUCCUUGGAACAGGACGCCUUAGAGGGUGAGAGCCCCGUACGAUUGGAUGCCGAGCCUCUGUAAAUCUCCUUCGACGAGUCGAGUAGUUUGGGAAUGCUGCUCUAAAUGGGAGGUAAAUUUCUUCUAAAGCUAAAUACCGGCCAGAGACCGAUAGCGCACAAGUAGAGUGAUCGAAAGAUGAAAAGCACUUUGAAAAGAGGGUUAAAUAGCACGUGAAAUUGUUGAAAGGGAAGGAUUUAUGACCAGACUUUUUCUAGGAGAAUCAUCCGGUGUUCUCACCGGUGCACUUCUUUUAGUUUAGGCCAGCAUCGACUUUCGGCGGUGGAUAAAAGCUUUAGGAAUGUGGCUUCCCUCGGGAAGUGUUAUAGCCUAUUGUAUAAUACACUGCUGGGGGUCGAGGUACGCGCUUCUGCAAGGAUGCUGGCGUAAUGGUUAUCAAUCACCCGUCUUGAAACACGGACCAAGGAGUCGAACAUUUGUGCGAGUGUUUGGGUGUUAAACCCUCACGCGUAAUGAAAGUGAACGGAGGUGAGAGCCCUUACGGGUGCAUCAUCGACCGAUCCUGAUGUUUUCGGAUGGAUUUGAGUAAGAGCAUAAAUGUUCGGACCCGAAAGAUGGUGAACUAUGCGUGGAUAGGGUGAAGCCAGAGGAAACUCUGGUGGAGGCUCGCAGCGGUUCUGACGUGCAAAUCGAUCGUCAAAUCUGCGCAUGGGGCGAAAGACUAAUCGAACCCAUCUAGUAGCUGGUUACCGCCGAAG
rnacentral:rRNA from 1 species